rnacentral:rRNA from 1 species
AUUGAACGCUGGCGGCAGGCCUAACACAUGCAAGUCGAGCGCGCGGCGGACGGGGGAGAAUUGUCUGGGAAACAGCCUGAUGGAGGGGGAUAACAACUGGAAACGGUAGCUCAUACCGCGUACCAUCAGAGGUGCCCAUAUGGGAUUAGCUAGUAGGUGGGGUAUUGGCUCACCUAGGCGACGAUCCCUAGCUGGUCUGAGAGGAUGACCAGCCACACUGGAACUGAGACACGGUCCAGACUCCUACGGGAGGCAGCAGUGGGGAAUAUUGCACAAUGGGCGCAAGCCUGAUGCAGCCAUGCCGCGUGUAUGAAGAAGGCCUUCGGGUUGUAAAGCACUUUCAGCGGGGAGGCGUUACCCGCAGAAGAAGCACCGGCUAACUCCGUGCCAGCAGCCGCGGUAAUAC